rnacentral:lncRNA from 1 species
AAGCGGCCCUUGGAGCUGUCACUGGGCGGUAACCGAGUGGGGCAGAGCUGGGGUGGGCCCCGCUGCCGCCAUCAGCUCGGUCGGGGCCGGUACCCGGCGGUGUCAGGCUCCGCUCUGCGCCACGUUCGCGAGGGCCCGGGGCAUCGGUGGGGCCGGAGCCGCGGUCACGCUGCCGCGGGCUCCCCACGGGGCCCGGCCCGGCGCAGGGAGCGGCGUACCGGGGGGCUCCGGGCCGGGCCGCCUUUGUGCGGGGGCUGCUGCAGCGCCGGGCCCGGCCCGAGCGAAACAGGCGGCCGAGGGAGCCGGGGAACGAGGGCCAAAGGCCGCGGUGUGACCCGCCGGGCCGGGCCGGGCCCGCUGCGCCGGAGCUUCGUGCGCUAUAUCCCCGGUACGGGCUGCUCGGGGAGCACGGGGCAGCGCGGCGGAUCGGCCUCGCUGCCCAGCCCGGCACCCGCAGUGCCCGGCACCCGCAGUGCCCGCCGCCGCUCGCGCUGCGCUGCUUACCGUGUGGCGGGAGCUGCUCCGGGCGGGCGGGCGCUGCGGUCAGAGCGGGCCGUGCCCGGGGCGGUGCGGGCGCUAAGGGGGUCGGGCCGCCGCCGCUGGGGCCAUGGGGCGGGCAGGGCCGGGCACGUGACCGGAACGGGCCGCGAGGCGCCGGCAGGGCGGGGGAGGCCGCGUCACGUGACGGGGACGCGGGCCGCCGAGGCGCGUCCUCCGCGGUCACGUGGCCGCUCCCCCCCCUCCGCCGUCGGCCCCGCUCCGCGCUCACGUGACGGCCCCUCCCCCGCCGCCAUGACAGUACGGCGGAGGGGGGAGCUCACGGGGGCUUGGCCGCCCCCCCGCCCCGUCCCGCCGCGCCCGGUUCUCCUCCCCCCUCGCCGCCGUCACCCGGCCCCGCCGUUGGCGGGCGUCGCUCGUCCCGCGCCGUGUGCCCGGCGGUCCCGCCGCUCCGCUCCCGGGUCGGCGGCGCCGCGCUGCGGGGGAGGGGCCUCCCCUCGGCAUCGGCAUCGGCCCGCGGCGGGAGGGGGCGUCACGUGGCCGGGCCAGGCGGGCGCGCGUGACGCAGCUUCCGGCCGCGGCUCCUUCCGGCCGCAGCGGGCGGGGGACACGCGCCGCUCGCCCCGCCCCGCCCCGCCCCGCCCCGUCCCACCGCGGGUCACGUGCCGCGGGCGGUGGCUGUAG